rnacentral:lncRNA from 1 species
CUUUUUCUUUCCUAUUCCCAUAGUCAGAUUCUUAACUUUGGAGUCACUCUCCUAUGUUUGAGUAGCCAUACUUGCUUUGGGGCAAAAUAUUGGGGGAUAGUUUUUUGGAGAAAGAAAAUCUGGGAUGUUUUUGUAGUUUAGUAAUAGCAAGAAUCAUGUCUGUUUGCUUUAAAGGCCCAGGAAGGACUGAGAUACUAAUGGAGGAGAUCGAUAGAAUGGGUGAUGAAGUAUCAUAAAUCUAAUGUAACACUAUCUUCUGUCAGUGACCUAGAACUAUGAUAUCCCGAGGCAGAAGUCUCCCAGGAGAUUUGAUGUGUGGGUUUAGAGGAGUACUUUCCCACCAACCGUAGGCAUGAAACUAUAUGGGAAAAUAUAUCAGAGUAAAUUGAAAUACUUUAUAGCAUGCCCUCAUUCAUUCUUACAGCUGUAAAAUUAAAAUGUAUGAAUGGCCAUUUUAUGAAUGAGGAAAACCUGAAAUUUGAUGAUUUGGCUGGACCCCCAGAUUCAUGAUAAUCUGUAUAUGUUAAGGGGUUUUGUUUGAAUAAAAGCACAUUUCUAAAUAGAA